CUUUAAAGAUGUCACAAUUCUUAGGAAAAUGGAAAGGAAAUAAAGCUUCAAGGAAAAAUUUUGACGAAUACUGCAAAAUGACUGGGGCCCCUGAAGAUUUGGUAGACAAGUAUCGUAAUGCUACUACAACCGUUGAAUAUGAAAAAGAAGACGAGAACUGGACAAUGACCGUCUCAUCAGAUGCAAUUCCAAAACCGCGGGUUUACAAGUAUAAGUUAGGAGAGGAAUGCGUUUCAAAAGACGCCCAAGGGAAAGUUUACAGCAGUUAUUAAUUCUGAUGGGAGCAUGACAGAUACUAGUAGCUUUGAAAUAAUGGGAUGGAAACCAACUACAACCACAAGGAAAGUUAACGCCAAUAAAAUGAUUGUGGUAAAUAACAAUAUAUUUUUAAAGUCUUCUGACAGAAUCAGUACUUACUCUGUGAAAAACGUUGCU